rnacentral:ncRNA from 1 species
AGAACGCCCGGAUGCUCUGAGGUCCCAGCUGAAUUUGGGCACUUGAGCUGAUACCAAGCCACCAGUGCAACCUGCCGUGCGUUGC